rnacentral:rRNA from 1 species
AACGAACGCUGGCGGCAUGCCUAACACAUGCAAGUCGAACGAGACCUUCGGGUAUAGUGGCGCACGGGUGCGUAACGCGUGGGAACCUGCCCGUAGGUUCGGAAUAACUCAGAGAAAUUUGAGCUAAUACCGGAUAAUGUCUUCGGACCAAAGAUUUAUCGCCUUUGGAUGGGCCCGCGUAGGAUUAGCUUGUUGGUGGGGUAAUGGCCUACCAAGGCGACGAUCCUUAGCUGGUCUGAGAGGAUGAUCAGCCACACUGGGACUGAGACACGGCCCAGACUCCUACGGGAGGCAGCAGUGGGGAAUAUUGGACAAUGGGCGAAAGCCUGAUCCAGCAAUGCCGCGUGAGUGAUGAAGGCCUUAGGGUUGUAAAGCUCUUUUACCAGGGAUGAUAAUGACAGUACCUGGAGAAUAAGCUCCGGCUAACUCCGUGCCAGCCGCCGCGGUAACAC